GAACGCUGACAGAAUGCUUAACACAUGCAAGUCUACUUGAAUUUGGGUCUUUUGACUUAGAUUUGGGUGGCGGACGGGUGAGUAACGCGUAAAGAACUUGCCUCACAGCUAGGGACAACAUUUGGAAACGAAUGCUAAUACCUGAUAUUAUGAUUUUAAGGCAUCUUAGAAUUAUGAAAGCUAUACGCACUGUGAGAGAGCUUUGCGUCCCAUUAGCUAGUUGGAGAGGUAACGGCUCACCAAGGCGAUGAUGGGUAGCCGGCCUGAGAGGGUGAACGGCCACAAGGGGACUGAGACACGGCCCUUACUCCUACGGGAGGCAGCAGUGGGGAAUAUUGGACAAUGGACCAAGAGUCUGAUCCAGCAAUUCUGUGUGCACGAUGACGUUUUUCGGAAUGUAAAGUGCUUUCAGUUGGGAAGAAAAAAAUGACGGUACCAACAGAAGAAGUGACGGCUAAAUACGUGCCAGCAGCCGCGGUAAUACGUAUGUCACGAGCGUUAUCCGGAUUUAUUGGGCGUAAAGCGCGUCUAGGUGGUUAUGUAAGUCUGAUGUGAAAAUGCAGGGCUCAACUCUGUAUUGCGUUGGAAACUGUGUAACUAGAGUACUGGAGAGGUAAGCGGAACUACAAGUGUAGAGGUGAAAUUCGUAGAUAUUUGUAGGAAUGCCGAUGGGGAAGCCAGCUUACUGGACAGAUACUGACGCUGAAGCGCGAAAGCGUGGGUAGCAAACAGGAUUAGAUACCCUGGUAGUCCACGCCGUAAACGAUGAUUACUAGGUGUUGGGGGUCGAACCUCAGCGCCCAAGCAAACGCGAUAAGUAAUCCGCCUGGGGAGUACGUACGCAAGUA
rnacentral:rRNA from 1 species